rnacentral:rRNA from 1 species
UACGGGGGGGGCAAGCGUUGUUCGGAAUUACUGGGCGUAAAGGGCUCGUAGGCGGCCAACUAAGUCAGACGUGAAAUCCCUCGGCUUAACCGGGGAACUGCGGUCUGAUACUGGAUGGCUUGAGUUUGGGAGAGGGAUGCGGAAUUCCAGGUGUAGCGGUGAAAUGCGUAGAUAUCUGGAGGAACACCGGUGGCGAAGGCGGCCAUCCUGGACCGAACACUGACGCUGAUGAGCGAAAGCCAGGGGAGCAAAACGGGGAUUGAGA